CAAACAUCUCAAGAACCAAAUACAAGAAUCAACCCUAAACUUGACAAGAACUAACAUGGCUAAACCAGUGCAUCACAGUAAAAAAAACAUACCGAAACCUUUCUUUCAAGUCUAUAACACAAGGGUUGUACAAUUCUUUAACCUCUCUAAUAAUCACAGCGAAACACAAUAGAAGUUGGAAGAAUUUCAGAGAGAGAGAGCCGCUUUCCAAAAUUGGCAGAAAGAAUGAGAACUCUUGCCUCUAAAAUCGGGUAGCACAAGAGUUAUAAAAAUCAUGUGAAAUCAAGAUUAAAUCCAGCCACACAUUAUGAUCCAAUGUCUCACAGUGGAGUUGAAGAAGCACGAUCCUCAUUUUAGUAAAAUAAACAAUUGGUGGUUGCCAUGUGGCCCUCCAAACCAAUUAAAAAAGACAAAGUAGCAUUUCUUUUAAAUAACUCCAAAGUUUCCAAUUUAGUGAAACACGCCUUUUACACUUUCAAUCUUCAUCUUGUUUCACUAAAUACACCGACACUUUUAGUUGCAUGGUUUACACAGUAAGAUUGAUAAUCAUCAUUACCCAGUACCUACAAAAGAAUUAUCCAUUAUCAAUAUACGGAAUUGAUAAACCAAAAUUUAAACAUACUAGUUGAACGCAUUUUAAGUCUCAUAUCUAAUGGACAUUCAUCAACUUGAAUUUUCUUAAGAUUUAACUUCACCUAAAGCUAUCUUAUCCUUUUAGAAGAUGAUACUUCACCUUAACAUAUGUUUACCUCUGAUAAUGAACAAAAUUUAUAAUAACCAACAAUGCAAUUCAACUAACAAUGAGAGUAAUAAAAGUAUCAUGCAGAAAAUUCAAAUCACGCUUUUCAAUUAAAUGCAUUCUUUCACAGAUUUCAAAUUCUUACAAUCAUUCCCCAAUGUAAAGAGAUAGGCAAUAAUGGAUUUCCUCAGAUCUUUGUCACCCACAAAGUCAACAUCCACAUAUCCUUUAAGGAUCAAUCUAUCAAGCAUUUUCAAUUUACAAACAAGGUCAUUCUUCACCUCAAAGCCUACGAGUUUACUCUUAUGGAUAUUUCCCUUCAAUUCUCAAUGUAGGAAAGCAGUUUUAACAUUUAGUUGUUCACAUUCCCAAAUGAAUUGAACAACUAAUGCUAAAAACAAUCUUAUUGUUUUAUAUUCAAUGACAAGGGAAAAUAUCUCAAUAUAGUCAAACCCCUCUUUCAAUUUGUAAAUCCACUUACAUUGUAUCGUUCUUUGACCAUUACGCAAAUUAACCAAACUUCCUUUAUCCCUGACCAAUUUGUAAUGUUGGAUAGAAUUCUCUUCAAUUAUGGGGGUGUUAGUUUCCUUUUCAUUUUCAUCAUGAGGUACAUCAACGUCAUCAAUUACAGGUUCAUUCUCAUCGGAAUGAGUAAAGUCAUAUUUUGCCAGCUUCACCUCAUUCUGAAAUUUAGCGUGAGAUUCAAUUUCCUCAAAAUCAUCAUGUUUUCUAAAUUUUAAACAAGGCAUUUCAGAUUCAUUAAACAUAACAUUCGUGUUGUUAAUGAUCUUAAUACCAGGUUCCCCUAAAAUCCACAACCUAUAACCUUUAACCCCCUUAGGAUGGCCUAGCAUAACACAUCUAAUAUCCUUAGGUACCAACUUGCCCUUAGUUUGGCGAGCAUAUGCCAUACACCUAAACACUCUAAUAUGUGCUAAAUUUGGUUGCUUUCCUGUCCAUAGUUCUUGAGGAGUCUUAAACUUGUCACAACUAGAUAGAGAUCUAUUCAUCAAAUAUGCUGCUGUGCAUAAUGCCUCAGCCCAAAACCCUUUAGCAAGUCCUAAACUGACUAACAUGCACCUAGCCUUAUUCAUCAAAGUCUUACUCAUUCUUUUCGCCACCCCAUCUUGUUGAAGUGUGUACUUAACUGUCCCUUGUCUCAUGAUUCCCUUUUGCUUACAAAAGUUAUCAAAUUUCGUAUUACAAAACUCUAGAUAAUUAUCCGAUCUUAGAGUUUUUAACUUCUUAUCCAAUUGAUUUUCCCAAUUUUAAGCCAAGUCCGAAAUUUAUGAAAAGUCUCAGAUUUAGCCUUUAAGAGGUAAAUCCAUACUUUUUUAGAGUACUCAUCUACUAAGGAUAAAAAGUACUUAUUUCCACCAAAGUUGGGAUGCUCUUCAGGCCCCCACAAAUCUGCAUGGACAUAAUCCAAAGGUCUUUUCGCUAAAUGUGAACCCACCUCAAAACUCACCAUGUGAGACUUUCCCAACAAACAAGUCUUACAAAAGUUUAAAGGUUCAAUAAGACCUUUACCAAGUAACUUUUGGUCACUCAAAUGUUUCAAACAUUUAUUUCCUAUAUGCUCCAUUCUUUUGUGCCACAAUUCAGAUUUGUCAUCAGUAACACUAAGAAGAUUAGCUUCUUGUGAAGUAAUUGCCUCACGCAUUAGGUAGUACAACCCAUUUUUCUUAGGUCCUUUCAUUAUAGCUAGGGAACCUCUCAUGAAUUUUAGUGUAUUAUUUUGAGAUUUAAAGUCAUGUCCUUCAUCCUCAAGGAUUCCCAAAGAUAUGAGAUUCCUUUUAAGAUUAGGGACAUACCUAACAUUUCUUAAUUGCCUGACAAUACCAUCAUACAUCUUGAUGGCUAUGUUCCCAAUACCACUAACAGUAUAAGAAUUAUUAUCACCCAUAUAAACCUUGCUAGGUUCAACUUCCCUAUAGUUAUAGAACCAUGACCUGACGGGACUCAUAUGGAAUAUACACCCUGAAUUUAAAAUCCAAUCUUGACUAACGUCUUCACAAGACACGGUCAUAACAUACAAGCUGUCCAAUUCAUGUCCAAUAGCAACAUUGUUCGAUUCCAUAUCGUUUUGAUCAUUUUUCUUCAUUUUCCACUCAAAGCAAUCUCUCUUAAAGUGCCCUAGUUCCCCACAACCAUGACACUUCUUGUUACUUUGAUCUUUGGAUUUAGGCCAUCCCUUUGAUUUUACUUUUACUUUCCUUACCUGAAAGUUAUCUUCUCUCUUUUCACUUCUCCCUCUUACAAACAUAAUUUCUUCCCUAGCAUCUCUUGAUUCCUUUUUAACCUCUAAAUCUCUUUAUCUUAAGGCAUCUAUUACAAUUGCUUGUGAUAAUUUGUCCCUUGAGUAUUUUAUUGCAUUUCUCACAUCCUUGUAAGAAUCAGGCAAAGAAUUCAAUAAGAUGACAACAAAAUCCUCAUCAUCAAAUUUCUUAUCAUUAUGUGCAAGACUCUUCACAAUAAUACUAAAAUCACUUAGAUUCACUUCUAAGUCCUUUCUCAGGACCAUCCUAAAACUAAACAAUUUCUCCAAAAGAUAAAUUUUAUUUGGCAAUGUUUUAGUUAGGAAUAAAGCAUCAAGUGCAGUCCAUAAAUCCCUAGCAUUCUUAGCUUCAUCAACUUGUCUAACAAUAUCAUCGGACAAAUGCAAAAUUAUAAAUCUGUAUGCAAUCUCAUUCAUUUCCUCAACUUCAGCAAGUUUAGAUUUUAAUUCAACAGAAAAAGUUUCAGGAUCAUCAAGGGCUUUAGUAACCCUUUGUUGGACUAAAAUAGCCCUCAUUUACUACUUUCAUAUCGAGUAAUCUCCCUUUCCAUCGAAUUGAGAGAGUUCUAACCUUGAACCUAUAACAGAUUCAGUGGAAGGAUGGUGUGAACUCGAGGCGUAAUCUCAGAUUCCCAAAAAUAAACAGGAAAAGUUUUUGAAAAACACUCAGGUUUUACAUAUCAGUCAAG
rnacentral:lncRNA from 1 species